rnacentral:rRNA from 1 species
GACGAACGCUGGCGGCGUGCUUAACACAUGCAAGUCGAACGGUAAGGCCCUUCGGGGUACACGAGUGGCGAACGGGUGAGUAACACGUGGGUGAUCUGCCCUGCACUUCGGGAUAAGCCUGGGAAACUGGGUCUAAUACCGGAUAGGACCACUGCCUGCAUGGGUGGUGGUGGAAAGCUUUUGCGGUGUGGGAUGGGCCCGCAGCCUAUCAGCUUGUUGGUGGGGUGAUGGCCUACCAACGCGACGACGGGUAGCCGGCCUGAGAGGGUGACCGGCCACACUGGGACUGAGAUACGGCCCAGACUCCUACGGGAGGCAGCAGUGGGGAAUAUUGCACAAUGGGCGCAAGCCUGAUGCAGCGACGCCGCGUGAGGGAUGACGGCCUUCGGGUUGUAAACCUCUUUCAGCACCGACGAAGCGCAAGUGACGGUAGGUGCAGAAGAAGGACCGGCCAACUACGUGCCAGCCGCCGCUGUAA